GACAUGGCCUUCAGUGGGAUCCUCCACCACCCCUCAUGGUGAAACCAAAAGUGAGGGCAAGGGCCAAAGCAUUGAGACUUGCUUCACCUAUUGGAAUGGGGUCCUGAGGAUGGAAGCGACACAUGGCCUGCCAGUUGCCUGCAGUAUGCCUGUUGGAGGGUGAGGUCAGGCAGCCUCUGCUUGCAUAGUUCUUGGACAGGAAGCUUACUAUUUGCUCAGGCAACCUAUCUCAUCCCAGUGACUGCGAGAAAACAUCCUUGCCCGGGCUGAAACCUGAUGCCUCUUCAAGGUCACUCCUGUUCCCCAACCCCCAAACUGUGCACAUUCUGCUCUCCAGCCUGGGGUGGCCACAGGCCCUGAAAAUGGGCGAGCCUGGGGCUGCCUGGAUUUGAGAACUUAUGGCUCUCCCAGUCUCCCCUUCCUCUCACUUGACCGCUGAUGUGGAACAGCCUCCUUUCCUGAGGCUCUGAUUACCCUGGAGUAGGCAGACGGAACCUUUCUCCUCCACCCCUGGCAACACUGCCGGGCAAGUGCACCACAUCCUGCUUGUCCUACUGGAAGAUGCCUCCCUCUGCAUAGGGGAAGGGAUGAGACUUCCGGGCCAGGCCAGCAGGAAGACUCACUGGUCCAGAAGUUGGAAUACCUGAGUCACUUGACAUGCACUCUCAGAUGAACUGCUGCGCUGCUCUGUGCCUCAGCCUCUUUCAUCUGUAGAAUGGGAUGGUCAUGAUGCCUGGCCAGCGGGGCCCAUGGAGCUUGUAUAAAACCUGAUGGGAGGGGAGUUUGGAGUAAAAGCCUUGCAGAUGAAAGCACUGGACACAGGUCCCCUGGAGUCAUUGGGAUGCAGAUUCCUACUUGGAGGCCUGGAUUUCCAACCAUCUCCCAGGACAUGUGGCCUGGAUUGUUCAGAUUUAGUGUCAUGAGGAGCAGAGUCGGGGGAUACACACCACCAAAUGCCGUGCAUGACACUUGACAGGAUCCUGGAUUGGAAAAAUAAACAGCAGCAUGUUAUGGAGC